GCCAGGCAUGGUGGCGUACGCCUGUAAUCCCAGCUACUCAGGAGGCUGAGGCAGGGGAAUUGCUUGAGCCUGGGAGAAGGAGGUUGCAGUGAGCCGAGAUGGUGCCACUGCACUCUAGCCUGUGCAACAGAGCAAGACUCUGUCUCAA
rnacentral:SRP_RNA from 1 species